GAGUUAGGUAAAUCCGGCUCUUUCUAAGGCUGAGACACGACGUCGAGCAUCUACGGAUGUGAAGUCAUUGAUGCCAUGCUUCCAGGAAAAGCCUCUAAGCUUCAGAUUGUAAGGAAUCGUACCCCAAACCGACACAGGUGGUCGGGUAGAGAAUACCAAGGCGCUUGAGAGAACUCGGGUGAAGGAACUAGGCAAAAUGGUACCGUAACUUCGGGAGAAGGUACGCUCUCGACGGUGAAGUCCCUCGCGGAUGGAGCUAUUGAGAGUCGCAGAUACCAGGUGGCUGCAACUGUUUAUUAAAAACACAGCACUGUGCAAAAUCGCAAGAUGACGUAUACGGUGUGACGCCUGCCCGGUGCCGGAAGGUUAAUUGAUGGGGUUAGACUUCGGUCGAAGCUCUUGAUCGAAGCCCCGGUAAACGGCGGCCGUAACUAUAACGGUCCUAAGGUAGCGAAAUUCCUUGUCGGGUAAGUUCCGACCUGCACGAAUGGCGUAAUGAUGGCCACGCUGUCUCCACCCGAGACUCAGUGAAAUUGAAAUCGCUGUGAAGAUGCAGUGUACCCGCGGCUAGACGGAAAGACCCCGUGAACCUUUACUACAGCUUGGCACUGAACAUUGACCCUACAUGUGUAGGAUAGGUGGGAGGCUUUGAAGCGCAGUCGCUAGAUUGCGUGGAGCCGUCCUUGAAAUACCACCCUUGUAGUGUUGAUGUUCUAACGUCGACCCCUUAUCGGGGUUGCGGACAGUGCCUGGUGGGUAGUUUGACUGGGGCGGUCUCCUCCCAAAGCGUAACGGAGGAGCACGAAGGUGGGCUAAUCACGGUUGGACAUCGUGAGGUUAGUGCAAUGGCAUAAGCCCGCUUGACUGCGAGAAUGACAAUUCGAGCAGGUGCGAAAGCAGGUCAUAGUGAUCCGGUGGUUCUGAAUGGAAGGGCCAUCGCUCAACGGAUAAAAGGUACUCCGGGGAUAACAGGCUGAUACCGCCCAAGAGUUCAUAUCGACGGCGGUGUUUGGCACCUCGAUGUCGGCUCAUCACAUCCUGGGGCUGAAGUCGGUCCCAAGGGUAUGGCUGUUCGCCAUUUAAAGUGGUACGCGAGCUGGGUUUAGAACGUCGUGAGACAGUUCGGUCCCUAUCUGCCGUGGGCGUUGGAGAAUUGAAAGGGGCUGCUCCUAGUACGAGAGGACCGGAGUGGACGAACCUCUGGUGUUCGGGUUGUGUCGCCAGACGCAUUGCCCGGUAGCUAAGUUCGGGAUCGAUAACCGCUGAAAGCAUCUAAGCGGGAAGCGAGCCUUGAGAUGAGUUCUCCCUGAUACUUUAAGUAUCCUAAAGGGUUGUCGUAGACUACGACGUUGAUAGGCAGGGUGUGUAAGCGUUGUGAGGCGUUGAGCUAACCUGUACUAAUUGCCCGUGAGGCUUAACCAU
rnacentral:rRNA from 1 species